rnacentral:pre_miRNA from 1 species
CCUGAAACAUGUUGUGAUUUUUCAUGUUCAAUGUUUAAAUGUCUGUCUUAUUUGAAAAUGGGUUAGGAUUAGUAUUUUAUUAUUAAUAAAUGAUAAAACAUCAAUAGUGAUUCAUGUGUGAAUAUCUUUAAAAAGAUUAUAUUUGUUUAAAUAAGAUAAACGUCAAAUACUGAAUACGGAAAUUCAUAAAUACAAUUGAA